rnacentral:rRNA from 1 species
UACGGGGGGGGCAAGCGUUUGUUCGGAAUUACUGGGCGUAAAGGGCUCGUAGGCGGCCAACUAAGUCGGAUGUGAAAUCCCCAGGCUUAACCUGGGAACUGCAUCCGAUACUGGAUGGCUUGAAUCCGGGAGAGGGAUGCGGAAUUCCAGGUGUAGCGGUGAAAUGCGUAGAUAUCUGGAGGAACACCGGUGGCGAAGGCGGCAUCCUGGACCGGCAUUGACGCUGAGGAGCGAAAGCCAGGGGAGCAAAACGGGG